UUGGAAAUGAAAGUUAGAGGUUGGGGGUGGUGUGUGGUAUGUGUGUAUUUACUCUGCAGAUUGUUAGUCCUGUCUGUCCCAUUAUCAGAGCAAAAAGGUGACCAGAAAACUGGAAGAGAGACUGGGGCUUCAUUUAAGGGAGGAUUUGGGCUUAAGGUUUGUUGUGGCAGAGCAGACAGGGUUAAUUUGUGUUUUGAGAGAAUAUCUGUGAUGGCAGAAGGUGACCUGAAGAAGGGAUUUGAAGGCUUUGAUUUUACAUCCCUGUUUCAUUUGGAUUGGUAGGAAUUACUGGGUAUCAUUCUUGAAGUUUUGGUUUUCUACAAGUUUCUUAUUAAGGCUACUUCCACAGGUCAUUACUUUGAAACUGUUUGAGCUCAGAGACAACUUGAAGCAAAUAUUCCAACUCUGUGAACUUCAGUUUGGGCAUAAAUUCCAGGUUUGCUCCCUUACAUUAAAGAGAAAAUGCUGCUAUCAGUGACUUCCAGGCCUGGGAUUUCGACUUUUGGCUAUAACAAGAACAACAAGAAGCCCUAUGUGUCAUUGUCUCAGCAGAUGGCACCACCUAGUCCAAGCAACAGUACCCCGAACAGCAGCAGUGGGAGCAAUGGAAAUGACCAGUUGAGCAAAACCAACCUCUAUAUCCGGGGAUUGCAACCAGGCACUACUGACCAGGACCUUGUCAAAUUGUG